CGAGGGACGGUCGGCGGGGUCGCUAGCUGGCGCAAGGCCAGAACCCGGGCGGGCCCGCGGCUAGAGGCGCGGCCUUCCUGCCAACUCUGAGAAGGAAAAGAGCAGCUCAUCUCUUGGCUCCGCCCAAUGGGAUCUGCACAGGAGCCCACAGUGCAGACAGAAGCCAUUUCUGGAACGAAGAGAUAGAAAAGAUGACAGGACAGAGAGAUGGGG
rnacentral:lncRNA from 1 species